GACGAACGCUGGCGGCGUGCUUAACACAUGCAAGUCGAACGGAAAGGCCCUGCUUUUGUGGGGUGCUCGAGUGGCGAACGGGUGAGUAACACGUGAGUAACCUGCCCUUGACUUUGGGAUAACUUCAGGAAACUGGGGCUAAUACCGGAUAGGAGCUCCUGCUGCAUGGUGGGGGUUGGAAAGUUUCGGCGGGUGGGGAUGGACUCGCGGCUGAUCAGCUUGUUGGUGGGGUAGUGGCUUACCCAGGCUUUGACGGGUAGCCGGCCUGAGAGGGUGACCGGGGACCAGAGUACUACGGUACGGAGCAGAGUGCUACGGGAGGCAGCAGUGGGGAAUAUUGCCCAAUGAGCGGAAGCCUGAUGCAGCAACGCCGCGUGCGUGAAGACCUCCUUCUGGUUGUAAACAGCUUUCGCCUGUGACGAAGCGUGAGUGACGGUACUGGGUAAAGAAGCACCGGCUAACUACGUG
rnacentral:rRNA from 1 species